GAUGAACGCUGGCGGCGUGCCUAAUACAUGCAAGUCGAGCGAACAGACGAGGAGCUUGCUCCUCUGACGUUAGCGGCGGACGGGUGAGUAACACGUGGAUAACCUACCUAUAAGACUGGGAUAACUUCGGGAAACCGGAGCUAAUACCGGAUAAUAUAUUGAACCGCAUGGUUCAAUAGUGAAAGACGGUUUUGCUGUCACUUAUAGAUGGAUCCGCGCCGCAUUAUCUAGUUGGUAAGGUGACGGCUUACCAAGGCAACGAUGCGUAGCCGACGUGAGAGGGGGAUCGGCCACACUAGAGCGGAACCGCGGACCAUGCGCCUACGGGAGGCAGCAGUAGGGAAUCUGAGGCAAUGGUGGAGAGCCUGACGGAACAACGCCACGUGAGUGAUGAAGGUCUUGGGAUCGUGAAACUCUGUUAUGAGGUAAGAACAAAUGUGUAAGUAACUAUGCACUUCUUGACGGUACCUAAUCAGAAAGCCACGGCUAACUACGUG
rnacentral:rRNA from 1 species